rnacentral:lncRNA from 1 species
GGGGGGAAGGCGGCGACGGCAGAGGAUGGAAGACUAAUGGCAAACGGCAGAGGGCGGCAGUGGUCGGCAGAGGUAGGCAGCAAUGGCGGAAGGCGGGGACGGGAGUCGGCAAUGAACGGCACAGGUCGGCGGUGGUCGGCAAGAUUAGCGAUGAAAGGCCACAAAGAGGAGGCAGAAGUGGGCAAUGACGGUUGUUGGAGGGUGGCUGGUGGUGGAGAAGACAAGGGGCAGGCCGCAGCGGCAGAAGGGAGGUGAUGACGGUGACGAAGGCAGGUGAUGUGGUAUCGGCGGUGCCGGGAGUGGAAAUUGGUGGCGAUAGAAGAAAGAAGGGAGGGAGAAGGGUACUCCAGACCGGGAGUGGCGGGGUCCUCCGACCAACCCAAGCUGGGGUGACGGGAUCUCACGAUCAAGUAAGGAAGAAACUCUCCAUCUAAUUCACUGUCAAACUAGAGGUUUGAGGGCCGAUUUAUAAGCCUCUCUACAUGAAAUAAUAGAAGUUAGUUGUAAAGGAAACCUUCUAUUGUGGGGCGUUUCUUCUAAUGGUAUGGGUGAACGGCAGCUGGAUCAAGGGUAACGUCCGCACCUUCCUCAAUAUUCCCUCCUUCAAUUUAAUUGAAUCCUUCUUUAUUUGAAGGGCUAUUAAGAUGUGAUUCAUUGAGGGCGUUAUUCUCGUCUGUCAUUUUCUUGGAAUCACCUUCCUUCGUUGAUGGGCUCUUGACGUGUGCUGCAUCACAUGGUCUCCACACGGCUGUCUGGACAGAGACACUUUGAUAAUAACAAAUGUAACUUAAGCAGUAGGAAGUCCCCAAUAUGGUGUAAAUGUCAAUAGAUCAUGAAGGCCACCCCAGGGUCGCUGCAUAUCAAGGAUGUAUCAGAAUUUGCUAGGGUUAUAUAACCUGAAGCUCGGUUUUCAUUAUGAUGACUGUAGGGAUGACCUGGUCAACUCAUUUUAGAGAGAGGUCUGUCCGGACCUCAUCUCCCCUUAAUCCAGUCCCAUCCUUUUGUGAAAAGGAUUCGACGGAGGCUCAGGGGAAUGAGAAAUACAGAAGCCAAGGGCAUGGGAAACCCUUUUCUCUCCUGUAUCUGAAAUCUAGACUUCAUCUUUACUCUUCCUCCUGGCGAGUCUAGUUAGAGCUUCAUGAACUCCAUUUACCUCCGUAUCGUGUUCCUCAUUGACUGUUCGAUAUUUUCUCUCUUUUGUGGUCGUGAGGCGUGCUUAUCCUCUUUAGACAACAUUAAAUUCGUGGUCUUUAUUCUAGUACAUCUGAUAUCCUCUCUUUCAUCUAUUAUAUUGUGAGCAUUCUCUAGUCAUGUUCUACGCCUCUGUUACGAUAUCAGACUUGUUAUGAAAUCCAUUACAUCUUAAAACUGGUCUCAUUCCCUAACAAUGAUGGCCCUUCAGUCUCGCUUUAGUCAGCUACCUUCCUACACACUUCCCCUCUUUCUUAAGUGGCCUCGUUCUUUCUUCAAGUCUGACACUUCAUCUCCUGCUCCAGUCCCUCUCGUGCUGCGCUCUCAUUUCCUCCAUCCUACGACAGGCAGAGAUCCCUUUCUUUAUCAGGUGCCCACCGCCCGUUUGGGAGGCUGGAUCAUACACACCCGAAAAUAGCCAAAAACGCAAACAAGAGUGGGAGCAUUCCUGGCGUGUCUUGAUUUACUCCGCGAAUCUGGCUAUUUCUCGCUUGAAAUUUCUCUCUUGUUCUCUCUCUUGUAUCAGGCUUGAAUUGUCAGGUCUCCUGGCAUUACACUUGGAAGACUUGUGUUCUCACUCCUGAGCUGCUUCUUGGGCCAACCAUAUAUAUGUGAUUGUUUGCCAUUCAUAUGUGCCUUUCUUGGAUGACCCUUUCCUAUGUUCCUUUUUCGGAAUAAUUACAGCACCCACAGUGAAGUUUCAACAUUUUCGAGAAGAUAAGACUUGAGGGCUAACAAUUGGGUAUCUAAUUCAACCACAUUCUAUUGUAGGAUAAAACAAGCAAUGGAUGGAGAUAGCAAUUGUGAACCGAAUUUUGGUUAUAAAGCAAUCUACACACAAAUAUCUCAAUCAAAGAUUAUUGAUGUUGGAGUCAUUUUUUUAUACCAAAAUAAUUGGGAAGUCUCUUGAACAGCAAGAGUUUGAAUCUUCUUAUAUCUUAUUAAAGUACUGGAGGUGUUUUCACAUACUCCUUAGGUUUUGAUUUUUCUAGUUGUGAUGGUCCAAUUGACCUAGUUUUGUGGAUCUUACAUGCAAAAAAAACUCUUCUACUAUAUCAAAGUAUACAAAUCAAGAAAAUAUUGAACAUUCAAAUUCAAAUCAGAUAUAAAAUGCAGAGCUUAGUAUGAUAAUACCUACGAAAAUAUAGAGCCACACCUAGUCAAGAUUUAAUGAAUAAUCCUCUAGCAAGAUUUGAGUUUGGCUCAUAUAAGGUGUCAAAUGCUAACCUCAACGUGGUACCAGAUAAAUUGAUGCUGUUAUUAAUAGAUUAAGGUUGAGUAUACUCAAGCUUUGUUUGCAUAUCAUUAGGGAACUUUUAUAACUGAAAUUGAACUAUGGAAUAGAUUGAUGAAGGGUUUGUAGAAUACUAGUUGAGCACAACAAUGACUAGUUUUGUCAAGUUUAUAAAAUGAUUAAUUGGAAAAGAGCACGAAACUUCAAUCAAAUAAAACAUGUAUAUAUAGAUGGAAAAAGUUAAUGAAAGGCAAGAUCAAGUUUACCCUUUUCUCCAUCACGUGCAUCUAAAGUCUUAAGAGCUUCUUAAUUUCCCAAGUUUCACUCAUUUUUAUAUAAGGAUUGCACACCAGCUUGGCAGUCUGUACCCCACAAAGGAAAACUUAAGAGUUAUAUCUUGUAUUAAUACUCAUGGUACUAUAUGUGUGACAGACUUUAUGGUUCUAUCAAAUCAGUUAUUGUCAACUAGUGACACUAUCUACGAAUUCUUUAAUGUAGAGCUAUUAACCAAACCAUUAUACAUGACACACUAGAAAAUCUGAAGUUGUGAAGUGUUUCUCUUUCUUGAAUAUGACGUAAUAAGUGCAUAAUGGUUGUGAACAACCAAAAGCACAUUUAUUUGGUUCAUAAGGCAGAAAUACAUAGUUGGGAAUCAAUUCUACACAAUAAUCCAAUUUUCUAAGUAGGGAAUUUAUAAGUUCAAUGUUUAUGGGUGAGAGGAAUAAGGAUUCAUUGCAAAUCUUUAUCUUCGCAGUAUUCUCAUUACUUUUCGUUCUCUCCAUGAAUACCAUGUGCUCUUUUGUUUGUUGAUUUUUUUCAGUAUUUUGAGAUUCCAACAUGGAGGCUGAUUUUCUCUUUCUUGAAUCGCUUCUUGAGCCAACUAAGAAGUGUUUCCCUUCAAAUUACUUCCCUUUUUAUCUUUGUAAUUUUUAGGCCCUGAUUUUCCCCAAGUUGUUUUACAACAAUGUCUAGAUCAAGAACACAUUGAACAUUUUCUUUGGAUGUAAAGAGAGAUUUCAAAGCAACUAGGUACUGUCUUAUGGUAAGAGAAGAGAUUAAUUUGGAAAGUAUAUUAAUGACUAAUGAACCAUAGGAUGACCAAAGCAGUCUAGAUGGGG